rnacentral:rRNA from 1 species
UACGGGGGGUGCGAGCGUUGUCCGGAAUCACUGGGCGUAAAGGGCGCGUAGGUGGUUUGAUAAGGGUGUGGUGAAAGCCCGGGGCUCAACCCCGGGUCUGCCGUGCCGACUGUCAAACUCGAGGGCUGUAGAGGCAGACGGAAUUCCGGGUGUAGCGGUGGAAUGCGUAGAGAUCCGGAGGAGAACCGUUGGCGAGGGCGUUUUGCUGGGCAUUUUCUGCCACGGAGGCGCGAAAGCUGGGGAGCAAACAGG